rnacentral:rRNA from 1 species
CGGGAGGGCAGCAGUGGGAAUUAUUGCACAAUGGGCGCAAGCCUGAUGCAGCGACGCCGCGUGAGGGAUGACGGCCUUCGGGUUGUAAACCUCUUUCAGCAGGGAAGAAGCGCGAGUGACGGUACCUGCAGAAGAAGCACCGGCUAACUACGUGCCAGCAGCCGCGGUAAUACGUAGGGUGCGAGCGUUGUCCGGAAUUAUUGGGCGUAAAGAGCUCGUAGGCGGCUUGUCGCGUCGGAUGUGAAAGCCCGGGGCUUAACCCCGGGUCUGCAUUCGAUACGGGCAGGCUAGAGUUCGGCAGGGGAGAUUGGAAUUCCUGGUGUAGCGGUGAAAUGCGCAGAUAUCAGGAGGAACACCGGUGGCGAAGGCGGAUCUCUGGGCCGAUACUGACGCUGAGGAGCGAAAGCGUGGGGAGCGAACAGGAUUAGAUACCCUGGUAGUCCACGCCGUAAACGUUGGGCACUAGGUGUGGGCGGCAUUCCACGUCGUCCGUGCCGCAGCUAACGCAUUAAGUGCCCCGCCUGGGGAGUACGGCCGCAAGGCUAAAACUCAAAGGAAUUGACGGGGGCCCGCACAAGCGGCGGAGCAUGUGGCUUAAUUCGACGCAACGCGAAGAACCUUACCAAGGCUUGACAUACACCGGAAAGCCGUAGAGAUACGGCCCCCCUAG